AGCAAGAGGCAACUCCACCAAAAAAGAGUGAAGCGGCGGCGUUCAGUAAAACGCGGCCGGUAACC
rfam:Serratia sp. ATCC 39006 ctg2, whole genome shotgun sequence.